CUUAUAAACAAAACUUUUUAUUUCUAGAAUCUUGCUUUCAUCUUGCUAUGGUAGGUGUUAAGAUAUUAAUGCACCAUCUUGUAUGGUACGUUCCAACUACGGCCUGGAAUGUACCAUAGCAGGAUGGUGUAUUAAUAUCUUAACAGCUGACACCACUGCUUACUCUACCACAUCAACCCUAGAAACAGUAGCAAGAAUACGCCAGCUAGAACUACAACAACAGUACACCUUCACUACGUAUGACUAUGAAUCCCUAUUCUCUUCGCUGAACCUGGAGGCCACCUGCCUCCUUUUUUAUAGGUUUAUGCUUGCCAACACAGACGAUCUGGACACACUGGCACUCCUCUUUUG
rnacentral:lncRNA from 1 species